UUUAGGAGUGUUUUUUGUUAACGUUUCUGCAAAACGGGAGGGUUAGAUUUGUUAACGGAAUUUAGUUGGGGGUUUAAAUCGUAAGAAAAAAAAAGGAAUAGUUUAGGGUUUUUGUAAUACAUUUGCUGCAGACUUUUGUCUAAUUCGUUCGACGAUACCAAGAAGAAGAAGAAGAAGAAGAAGAAGAAGAAGAGAUGAGAGGCAAGGAGCCGGGUGCGAUUGGGCGAUGCUUCAUCAAGUUUGCAAAUAAGAUCCACCAGCAUGUCGAUGGUAGACUGUUAAGUUGUGCCGUAACAUUAUUCGCCGGAGUUUCUUACGGCGACAUUACGGGUGGUGUUGUCAAGGAUUGGGACACCAAAGAAAAGCUUGAGCUAGAAAGGAAAGAUAUUGAAAGACAGAUGCAAGAGUAUGAAGCUGAAGCCAGAAAAGUGUUUAAGUAGAUUAGAAAAGCAAAGAAGCGCCCCUUCCUUUUUAUGUACCAACCAACCCUAGCCCGUCCUUUAACCCUAGGUUGAGUUCUGAAUUCUGAUCAAAUGAGCGGUUUUGAUGUUUCUGCCUUGUGAAGUGCUUUUGACUCUUACCAUAUAAUAGAGAUGUCUUUUGUUUUUUUGGAUAGAGAAAGCUCUCAAUUCAAGUUAUUUUUGUAUC